rnacentral:rRNA from 1 species
UACGAAGGGUGCAAACGUUUCUCGGAAUUAUUGGGCGUAAAGCGCACGUAGGCGGCUUAGUAAGUUGGAUGUGAAAUCCCUCGGCUUAACCAAGGAAGUGCAUCCAAAACUACUGAGCUUGAGUACUAAAGAGGAUCGCGGAAUUCCCGGUGUAGAGGUGAAAUUCGUAGAUAUCGGGAGGAACACCAGUGGCGAAGGCGGCGAUCUGGGUAGAUACUGACGCUGAGGAGCGAAAGCGUGGGGAGCGAACAGG